rnacentral:rRNA from 1 species
GACGAACGCUGGCGGCGUGCCUAAUACAUGCAAGUAGAACGCAGUUGCGAACGGGUGAGUAACGCGUAGGUAACUGCCUCAUAGCGGGGGAUAACUAUUGGAAACGAUAGCUAAUACCGCAUACUGUGAGAUGGACCUGCUUUGUAUUUGUUAGUUGGUGAGGUAAAGGCUCAACAAGGCGAAGGUACAUAGCCGGGCUGAGAGGGUGAUCCGCCAACAUGGGAAUGGGAAACGGGCCAGACUCCUACGGGAUGCAGCAGUAGGGAAAUAUUGGCAAAUGGCGGCAGUCCGACCGCAGAACGCCGCGUGAGUGAAGAAGGGCUUCGGAGCGUAAAGCUCCGUUGUUAGGGAAGCGGUAACUAACCAGAAAGGGACGGCUAACUACGUGCCAGCCGCCGCGGUAAUUC